UUGACGGGACCGCACAAGCGGUGGAUGAUGUGGUUUAAUUCGAUGCAACGCGAAAACCUUACCACCUUUGACAUGUACGGAAUCCUUUAGAGAUAGAGGAGUGCUCGAAAGAGAACCGUAACACAGGUGCUGCAUGGCUGUCGUCAGCUCGUGUCGUGAGAUGUUGGGUUAAGUCCCGCAACGAGCGCAACCCUUGUCAUUAGUUGCUACAUUCAGUUGGGGCACUCUAAUGAGACUGCCGGUGACAAACCGGAGGAAGGUGGGGAUGACGUCAAGUCCUCAUGGCCCUUAUAGGUGGGGCUACACACGUCAUACAAUGGAUGGUACAAAGGGUCGCCAACCCGCGAGGGGGAGCCAAUCCCAUAAAGCCAUUCGUAGUCCGGAUCGCAGUCUGCAACUCGACUGCGUGAAGUCGGAAUCGCUAGUAAUCGUGGAUCAGAAUGUCACGGUGAAUACGUUCCCGGGUCUU
rnacentral:rRNA from 1 species